rnacentral:rRNA from 1 species
GGACGUAGGUUUGAUCAGUGGCUCAGGACGAACGCUGGCGGCGUGCCUAACACAUGCAAGUCGAACGGAGUUUACAUGUGAGCGGAGGGUGCUUGCACUUAACAAUCUUUUGUAAACUUAGUGGCGGACGGGUGAGUAACGCGUGGGUAACCUGCCCUAUACAGGGGGACAACAGUUGGAAACGACUGCUAAUACCGCAUAAGCGCACAGGACCGCAUGGUCUGGUGUGAAAAACUCCGGUGGUAUAGGAUGGACCCGCGUCUGAUUAGCUGGUUGGUGAGGUAACGGCCCACCAAGGCGACGAUCAGUAGCCGGCCUGAGAGGGUGAACGGCCACAUUGGGACUGAGACACGGCCCAAACUCCUACGGGAGGCAGCAGUGGGGAAUAUUGGACAAUGGGGGAAACCCUGAUCCAGCGACGCCGCGUGAGUGAAGAAGUAUUUCGGUAUGUAAAGCUCUAUCAGCAGGGAAGAAAAUGACGGUACCUGACUAAGAAGCUCCGGCUAAAUACGUG